rnacentral:tRNA from 1 species
GCCUUCGUGGUGUAAUGGUCACCACGCUUGACUCGAAUUCGAGAGGUUCGGGUCCCGGCGAGGGCU